AAGAAGAAGAAGCAGGAAGAGAACAGUUUUAUUCUGUAACGAAACUGCUGCUAUUCAUCUGCUGUUAUCGCUUCAGUGAACCUCGCGCUGCUCGCUCGCGCGCAACACAGAUCAGCUGAUCGUCGUCGGAUUUGAAAGUAACGGCUCCUCUCAUCAAAGCUUCGGCUGUUUGUUCGGCUCUCCGUUACAAGAAGAACCACUGCAUUUCUAAAAUCAUCUGAACAUUUCAGAGGCUACAUUGAAUUACAGGAGGAAGUUACCGGCACCACACUACAAUGUAACUGAAUGAUGACUGGGGUUGCAUUACGCCUGAGAUCUGCUUUUGGGUUCCACAGACAGAAAGUCAAACAGGCACCUCGGUAAGCUGAAAUACAAGUUUGAACAAGAAAAAUAAUCCUCCUGUAGACCUGAAAAUCAUUGAAGUGCCUGGACCAUCCACCAGUAAAGAGGAAAAACAAACGGAAAAUUGUACUGUUCUAACUCGUUAACCUCACAUGUCCCUUGUUAAGAUUUUAUUAAUGAUUGCAUUUUAUGUUUCAGCAAGUAAAGGUGCGGUCAAAUUUGUGAAAU